rnacentral:rRNA from 1 species
AGCGAACGCUGGCGGCAGGCUUAACACAUGCAAGUCGAGCGGCCGUAGCAAUACGGCAGCGGCAGACGGGAGAGUAACACGUGGGAACGUACCCUUCAGUACGGAACAACCAAGGGAAACUUUGGCUAAUACCGUAUACGUCCGUAAGGAGAAAGAUUUAUCGCUGAAGGAUCGGCCCGCGUCUGAUUAGCUAGUUGGUGAGGUAACGGCUCACCAAGGCGACGAGCAGUAGCUGGUCUGAGAGGAUGAGCAGCCUCACUGGGACUGAGACACGGCCCAGACUCCUACGGGAGGCAGCAGUGGGGAAUAUUGGACAAUGGGCGCAAGCCUGAUCCAGCCAUGCCGCGUGGAUGAUGAAGGCCCUAGGGUUGUAAAGUCCUUUUAACGGGGAAGAUAAUGACGGUACCCGUAGAAUAAGCCCCGGCUAACUUCGUGCCAGCCGCCGCCGUAA